rnacentral:misc_RNA from 1 species
GACACAGAUGCCGACACGGCAGCACCACCACAGUCGCCGCCCGUUUCCGACAACACUUGCAACUUGGACCAGCCGUCACCGUUACCCUCUCCGGAUCAACGUACGCUGACUCCGCAUCCUCCGCUUGUCCAUCUACUCCCCCAGAGCAUCCUAUCCCGCCUUCGUCCCCUCUCCUGUUAUCCUGCGUCACCAUUCCUCCGCUCAUUAUCGCCUGCUG